GCUAUUUAGUUGGAUGCAUUUUUCAGUCUGUCAGUCCAUUAAGUUCUGCAGGUUUAUGCUGUUAUUUCACUGUAGAAUCCCCUAACUUGGAUACCCUUCUUCUAUUGCACAGCAGCAACAGUGUAUUUUGUACCAGUACAGAGAUCCAUAUUUCACUUUCCUUUUUUUUUUUUUUUUACUUUCCACAUUUACUAAAAAAAGUAGACUAGAUUCUUAAACAUCACUGGGCUGAAUUGCAUCAGCUGUGGAACUGGUGCAGAGAAAUUAAAUGCAAACACCUGUACUAACUCAACACCCACACUAAGAAAUUAACCAUACAGAAGCCAAGAUAUAUGAAAGUUAACAUAAGUAGAGCUAUGGGUAGCACAGGCAUGUUGUUCUAUGUGCUUUAUAACUAAAUCCCUGUGAGCAACACUGGGAAGAAAUCUGCUGCUCAGCUAUAUAGCAUUAGGAACUGAUUGCUCACUCCAUCCAAGGCCCAAUUCUGUCUUUUGAUUGAACACCCUUUUCUCAAAACUUCAAAGCACUUUACAAUUAUUAAUGGAUGAAGCCUCUUGAUGACCCUGAAGAAUGUCCCUGUUUUCCUUUCUGAGAGGAGAAAAGCAGAGAAGCGCUAGUGUUCAGACGCCUGUUAAUUUCCACAGGAUAUUUGGCUAUGGGUAAAAUGACCAAAUGAGACAAGAAUCAAAAACAGUGUUACACAGGAGGCAAAGAACUGAUUUAUGCCAGCCUCCUGGGCAGCUAACUCCUAGAGCUGGUAUCUGCACUUUGUGGGUGGGCAACCUUCCACAGCAUACCAUUCUGUCUUCUGAAUAGGUCAGCUUGUCACAGGCUCAGCAUCUGCAGCUGUCUGCAUGGAGUACAGCCUUUCCUGUAUUGGUGUCUGAUAUUUUCUCAUGCUGGGAAAAGCUGUAUUUUCUCAUGCCAGUACCCCCAUGAAGUUCAUUGGAAGCAAAUGCUCAAUACUGUGAAGAAGGGUUGGACAUGAGAGUAACCUGUUUAGUUGCCUCUGUCUUUCACUGCAUGGAUAUCUAUAAACUGUCAGGGUAACAUGCCUUAAGUUUAGUAGAUGCAAAAAUACUAAGCUUGAAGUAGGUGAACUGGAAUAAUGGCUUGUGUUAUAUCUUGUUCCACCUAUUAGAUAUUUAAGCAGUACAAACAUCUAAGUAGCUAAUGGCCUUUUUACACAUGCUCUGGGAGGUGUUGGGGGGUGCUUCCGGAGUCAUGCUAAUUAAAAGCACCCGGAUGUCACAUGUAUAAGCAUCCCUGCACUGAAAAAUGGUGGCAGGGCACUUUGAACUAAAGCUCAUCAAAUGGUCCUACCACCAUUUUUCAGUGUGGGGACACGGAUACAUGUGACACUAGAGUCUGCUGGAGCAUGUUAAUUUCUGCACUUCAGCAGACUCAAUUAAUUGAGUCUGCUCCAGUUCCAGUGCAUCAGAGCAGGUUCCCUCCACAUUUAUAGGAGCCCUAAGUGCUCUAUGCUGCUGAAGUCACUGAAAAAAAACAUUAAUGUGAAAGAUGGGUGAGUCCUUCCUGCUUUUGCAGACAGAGGCCUUAGGCCAUGUUGAAGGUGCAUUUCAAAAUGUUUUUUCAGGGUCUUGAGCAAGGUGAGAUAGGAUUGGUGAAGUACUUAGACAUGUCCCUGAUUACUUUCCUGUACCAGGAUCUGACCCAGGACUAGCUCCUAUUCUGCCCUUUAGGCAAGCAAGUGGAUAAAUAUGUACUCACACUUAGGAUCACAUUGGUGAAGAUGCCACCAGGGUCUAGGAGUAAAGCUUUAUUGCUUGCUCAGGCAUAUAAUUUAGGAAGUGUUUUCUAACACCCAACCUCAGUUCUGAUUUACAGCUUCAUUUCGUGUCUAGGCAUCCCUGCUCUUUCUCCCUUCCUUUAAUGCUGAGAUCUUUCAAAUGUUUUGAUAUGGUUGGUUACAUAACAUCUAAUUUUUUUUGUGCAGUGCUUUGGAGCUGUCAAACACUAUGUAGUGGUCAGAAGGGUUGGUGACUGAUGGUUAAUCAUUCUCACUUCAUUCUUUUAACUAAGCCACACAGGCAAUUUUUGCUCUUUUUACCUUUCAUUCUCACUUAGUUUUUUCCCCCCAACAUUUUAAUCAUUGUUCAUUUAUUUUACUUGUUCAUUUACUGGUACUUCAAAAAUUAUUGUUUAUUUAUUGAUACUUCCUCCUGGGAUGUUCAUAUCCAAAAUGGAAUGUGUUAUUUCAAACAUGGUCAGACCAAUGCUGCAUAAAGAUUAAAAUAUCAUGCACCAGGGAGUUAACUCUUUUCCUCUGUACAGUCCAAGGUAACACUGAACUGCUUCAGAUUGUAUGAUAUCUUUUUUUAUUGUGCUAUCUUCUGUCACA